GGGCAAGUUGUUCGACAAAAUUCACUCCGCGUCUCGGCUGCCAACCUCGCCCUCCUUCUUCAGAUCCCCAAGAGAGCAAUUAUCCCUGCACUUAGCCAUGGAACCAACAGUUUCUCGUCUUUGGGCCUAUUUAUCUCAUCAUGACUGGCCGGAAGCGUCGAAUUUGCCCAGGCAGCGGAGCCAACGGAAUGUCCAAGGAGGACCAAGCCCUUAGGAAGAUCAAGAAGAAGAGACUUGAGGCUGCAGCCAGGGUACUGACAAAAAGCCGAAGCAUAGCCAAUACCACCCCGAAGCCCUCAAUAAACUUCGCAACAAGCGCCCUACAGGGCGGGCCGGCCAUUCUUUCAAACCUCCUUACUAAUCCUCCUGGUCAUCAGGCAAUCCCAGCUCUCACCCCCGACAUAUUCUAGGAAAUGAUUAGCGAUAAUAUGAAUCUCUACACACGGCGCUUGGUAUAUCUGGCUGGACUCCGCCACCUCAUGGAAGUAGCUUAUAAGAGCGACAAGUUCUGCAAAUUUCCCAAUGAAAUGAGUCGUGGCAUUGUCAGCAACACCCUACCAGACAAAGAAGAAGUGUUCCUAGCCUCAAAGCUCGUCCCUCUUCACAGGCUGGAUGGCUCUGUACGCCUCAUCGCAGUCGGCGACCUCAUCUAUCGACCAUGUGCAAAGGCCAUGCUCAAAGCCACCUUCAAAUUGGAAUUUCUCCUACCCUUCCAGAUAGGAAUGAUGUCGCCAGGCGGCGUUGAGCUAACUGUCAGGGAAUUAGGCGAGCAAUCGAGGGUACAUUGGACCGCCACCACAUACACCUUUCCUAUCUAGACACAUCGAAUGCCUUUAACUGCAUUGGCAGGGGAGAAGUGGCAACUGCAGUAGCUAGUCACGCCCCCAGACUCUAUCAGGCAUGUAUAUGGCCCUGCAGCAACUCAUCGGCGCUGGUCUGCAAUGGGCAUGCAUUAGCCUCCUCCCAAGGGUUCGCCAGGGAGACUCCUUCGGUUUUCUCUCCUUCUGCUUAGACUUACCCCCAUGCUAACCGAGCUUGCUGCAUCUAGCGUAGCCUUGCUUGGACCAGUACCAUAAUUAUGAUUCUUAGGCCCUAUCUUGCCUACACUCUUUCGAUCAUCUCGGAUCUCACCGUCAAAUAACUGCAUACCUUGACGACGUCUUCAUCCUCUCGUCCGACAACACAGCGCUCGGGGAAAUUAAGGCCUUUCUAGCCUCCAAGAGCCACGUGCUCAAAUUCAACGAGGACAAAUGUUCAAUCCAGAGCCUAAGAGACAUAAGGGAGAACCGAUUCAAACCGCUGGGUACAAUGAUCGAAAGCACGGUGAAGCGCUGAACCUUCUUGCAAUGUCAAUAAAGAAAUCACGAAAAUCUUCAAACACAGCAGGAUUCUCGGGUUCCUUAUAUAGGUUUCGUUCUUAAAAAAAAAGGAAAACCCAUAGAUAGUAAACUUGAAAUGAAUUAUGGUUAUU
rnacentral:sRNA from 1 species